AACAGAAAAUUCAACUAGGUAUUUUAAUUUGUCAGUCACAACUCACUUUUAACUUUUUAAGAAUUUAAUUUAAAUGCAUAACAAAUAAUAAUUUCCUUGAAUAGUAAUUCCAUAAAUGUAAGGACAUAAUAAAAAUCAUUUUGUUUCAUAAGAGGAAAAUGAAUAGAUAAGAAAAAGAUAUUGAAUAAUAUCAUACUCGACAAAUAUUAUUAUAGAUAAUUAAAUUGUUAUGUCAUCCUUUACAUCCAAAGCAGUAUUAGGCUCAACAUGUCUAAUAACUACGGGAAUUGUUGCAUAUGUUCAUAUAAAACAACAAACAGACAGGGAAAGAAUGCAUGAAGGUGUUUUGCGAGAUACAGAAAGGCAGCAGAAGAGGAAAAUAGAAAACCUAUACAUAUUAGAGAAACAAAAAGAAUUGACAAACCAACUUAAAAGAGAAUUAACUAAUAAGGAAUAAAAAAUACAUCAAUAAUAUUCUAAACUAUGUAUUCUUAAACCUAUUUUUAUUUGAAUAAAGAUUAAGUAUAGA